CCUACGGGAGGCAGCAGUGAGGAAUAUUGGUCAAUGGCCGGAAGGCUGAACCAGCCAUGCCGCGUGAAGGUCAGUGCCCUAUGGGCGUUAAACUUCUUUUGUGCGGGAGCAAUAAUGGUCACGUGUGGCCAGACGAGAGUACCGUACGAAUAAGCAUCGGCUAACUCCGUGCCAGCAGCCGCGGUAAUACGGGGGAUGCAAGCGUUAUCCGGAUUUAUUGGGUUUAAAGGGUGCGUAGGCUGUGAGGUAAGUCAGCGGUGAAAUGCCCGCGCUCAACGGGUGGAAGUGCCAUUGAUACUGCCUGGCUGGAAUGCGGAUGCCGUGGGAGGAAUGUGUGGUGUAGCGGUGAAAUGCAUAGAUAUCACACAGAACACCGAUUGCGAAGGCAUCUCACGAAUCCGCGAUUGACGCUGAUGCACGAAAGCGUGGGUAUCAAACAGGAUUAGAUACCCCAGUAGUC
rnacentral:rRNA from 1 species